UGUCCAGACUCCUACGGGAGGCAGCAGUGGGGAAUAUUGCACAAUGGGGGAAACCCUGAUGCAGCGACGCCGCGUGAGCGAUGAAGUAUUUCGGUAUGUAAAGCUCUAUCAGCAGGGAAGAAAAUGACGGUACCUGACUAAGAAGCCCCGGCUAACUACGUGCCAGCAGCCGCGGGAAUACGUAGGGGGCAAGCGUUAUCCGGAUUUACUGGGUGUAAAGGGGGCGCAGACGGCAGCGCAAGCCAGGAGUGAAAGCCCGGGGCCCAACCCCGGGACUGCUCUUGGAACUGCGCGGCUGGAGUGCAGGAGGGGCAGGCGGAAUUCCUGGUGUAGCGGUGAAAUGCGUAGAUAUCAGGAGGAACACCGGUGGCGAAGGCGGCCUGCUGGACUGCGACUGACGUUGAGGCCCGAAAGCGUGGGGAGCAAACAGGAUUAGAUCCCCCUGUA
rnacentral:rRNA from 1 species